rnacentral:lncRNA from 1 species
GAAAAUUGGAGUGCAUUUGCACCAGAUUUCAAAGAGUUGGAUGAAAAUGUAGAAUAUGAGGAAAGAGAAUCAGAAUUUGAUAUUGAGGACGAAGAUAAGAGUGAGCCUGAGCAAACAGGGGCUGAUGCUGCUGAAGAUGAGGAAGUGGAUGUCACCAGUGUGGAUCCCAUUGCUGCCUUCUGUAGCAGUGAUGAAGAGCUGGAAGAUUCAAAGGCUCUAUUGUAUUUACCCAUUGCCCCUGAGGUAGAAGACCCUGAAGAGAAUCCGUAUGGCCCCCCACCGGAUGCAGUCCCAACCUCCUUGAUGGAUGAAGGGGCUAGCUCAGAGAAGAAGAGGCAGUCUUCAGCAGACGGGUCCCAGCCUCCAAAGAAGAAACCUAAAACGACCAAUAUAGAGCUCCAAGGAGUGCCGAAUGACGAAGUCCAUCCACUGCUGGGUGUGAAGGGGGAUGGCAAAUCCAAGAAGAAGCAAGCAGGCCGGCCUAAAGGAUCAAAAGCAGGAGGAGCAAUCUCAGAACUGCUAUGAAGACCGGGAAACUCUUGGUUCUCCUCACUCUGUCGUCAGGUAGCCUUUGGACAGUAUGGCCAAUCAUCUGAGAUUGGCCUUAGUUGAAAACAAAGGCCUCUGCCUCCCACCCAGGAGGUGAAGGAGUGGAUCCUAUGUUUGAAUGAAGAAGUGAAUUAUGGAAGAAGAGCACACGUCC